rnacentral:rRNA from 1 species
GAUAAACGCUGGCGGCGUGCUUAACACAUGCAAGUCGAACGAAGUUUUUCCUUCGGGAGAAACUUAGUGGCGGACGGGUGAGUAACGCGUGGGUAACCUGCCCUGUACAGGGGGACAACAGCUGGAAACGGCUGCUAAUACCGCAUAAGCACUUAGCACUGCAUGGUGCAUAGGGAAAAGGAGCAAUCCGGUACAGGAUGGACCCGCGUCUGAUUAGCCAGUUGGCAGGGUAACGGCCUACCAAAGCGACGAUCAGUAGCCGAUCUGAGAGGAUGUACGGCCACAUUGGGACUGAGACACGGCCCAGACUCCUACGGGAGGCAGCAGUGGGGAAUAUUGCACAAUGGAGGAAACUCUGAUGCAGCGACGCCGCGUGAGUGAAGAAGUAUUUCGGUAUGUAGAGCUCUAUCAGCAGGGAAGAAAAUGACGGUACCUGACUAAGAAGCACCGGCUAAAUACGUG